rnacentral:misc_RNA from 1 species
CCCUUCCCUCCUCCGCCACAUCUCCCAAAUCCUUAUCUCCUCCGUCUCUUCCUCCACCUCCUUUGAACUUAUCUGCGGCGUCCCCUACACCGCUCUCCCUAUCGCCACUUGCGUCUCCCUAUCUAAUAACAUCCCCAUGGUCAUGCGCCGCAAGGAGGUUAAAGACUAUGGUACUGCCAAGGCCAUUGAAGGCGUCUUCCACUCCGGCCAAACUUGCCUUAUUGUCGAGGAUC